CUCAUUCUUUUAGAUAAAGAAAGUUGAGCCUCAAAUGGAUUUGGGCAACCAGUCAGGGAUAUUGUAGAGCUGGGAUUUGAACCUCCAUCUCUCUGACCCCAGAUGCCACCCUCUUUUCGCCAUACGCUGUUACCCUAAGCGGUUGUGUUUGCGGCUGGGGAUGUACAAGGAGGAGGAGCACGGGAAGAAAGAAGAUGGAAGAGUGGACAUCCUGCCUGGCGAGAUAAAACGAGAUGCUGACUACUGGCCCCAUGAAGAGAGAAGGUGACAGCAGAAUCUGAAAAGCCUUCUUGGCAUGAGAAUCAUGAAAUGCUAAGUGCGAAAAGGAAUCAUCGGCUGAGCCAUCUUCCCUUAGGUCUUAAAGGGACCUCCCGGGAGGGUACCGUCCUUCAGAAACCAGUGAGCGUGGCUCCCCACUUCACCUCCGGCUCAGGGAACACGGAGCUGUGGAGAGACCGCGGAAUCGGGACCAUUGUAAAGAGAUGGAUUUCAGCUCGAGGGCCUCUCUGUACGGCCUCGUUUGUUAAAUGGGUUUAAUAAAACCUCUCUUGCAGGCA